UCAUGUAGAAUAUGCAUUUAUUACAUUCUCAGUGUGAGUCUUAGGGUAUUGUUAUAAAAUGACAAGUCCUUUCCACACCAUAGCAUUCAGUCUUCUUUCCGCAUUGGCAUCAAGUGCGCCGGAAACAUUGACUUGGGCAGGACAGCUGGAGCAGGUGACCUACACGCAGGACUCGGCCGAAUGACCCACAGCUGCUUUUCCGCUUAAGCUGGGACAACGGCAGAAAGACCAGACCAGACAGGAUCCUCUGAUGAGCAGCUCAGGAUUUUACAUCAGUUCCCUGGAAACGACAGAGGCAUUGCCAAGUCUAAAGAGCAGUCUCAGGACAUCUGGGUGGCCCAGUCGGUUGAGCGUCUGACUUCGGCUCAGGUCAUGAUCUUGGGAUUCAUGGGUUGGAGCCCCCUGAUGGGCUCUGUGCUGACGGCUCAGAACCUGGAGCUUGCUUCAGAUUCUGGGUCUCCCUCUCUCUGUGCCUCUUCCCUGCUCAUGUUCUCUCUCUCUCUCUCUCUCUCUCUCUCUCUCUCUCAAAAGUAAAUAAACAUUAAGAAGAGAAAAAGGGCAGUCUCAGCAUAAAUAAGUUAAGAGAUCAUCAUUCCGAUUUCAGACUCUUCUGGUCUACUAUCAUUGGGAGUGGGAUUCUGGAAAGAACUUACUUUUCUUUUUUUUAAUUUAUUUAAAAAAAUUUUUUUUAAUGUUUUAUUUAUUUUUGAGACAGAGAGAGAUAGAGCAUGAACUGGGGAGGGUCAGAGAGAGAGGGAGACACAGAAUCUGAAACAGGCUCCAGGCUCUGAGCGGUCACCACAGAGCCCGAUGCGGGGCUCGAACUCACGGACCAUGAGAUCAUGACCUGAGCCGAAGUCGGACGCUUAACCGACUGAGCCACCCAAGUGCCCCAAGAACUUACUUUUCAACCAAACCAGUUACCCACCCCCAGUACCUAGAAACAACAAAAAAAUACCUGUAAAAAUAUUAACUUUCAUUUAUUAAAUAUUCAAAUAUAUUAUUUCUAUUUUUGUUCCUCUUUGAAAAUUAUGGAAGAAGUAACUGUAAAUUAGAUUCCAGGAAAAGAACUGAUCAGAUACAUGAAAACGUCCUAAGAAGAGAGGUUUAGAGGAUUCAGCAAAAUGCUGAGGAAAGGUAAAACCAUACCCUCCAACCCGAGCAAGAUGGAAAGACAGAACCCAGCUGCCCAGGCAGAAAGGGAUAAAAAUCCUGAUGAAGACAUUUUCCCCAAGCCCACAAUUUUUCUUCCUUCAGCUGAUGAAGUAAAACUCCAUAACACUGGAACAUAUCUUUGUCUUCUUGAGGACUUUUUCCCUGACGUUAUCACGAUAGAUUGGAAAGAAAAGAAUGGCAAAACAAUUCUGAAAUCCCAGCAGGGUGACACCAUGAAGACUAAGGACACAUACAUGAAAUACACGUGGCUGACCGUGCCUACAAAGUCAAUGGAUAAAGAACACAAAUGUACCGUCAAACAUGAGAAUAAUAAAGGAGGGGUUAAUCGAGAGAUACUGUUUCCUUCAAUAAACAAAGGUUUGGCGGAGGUGGGAAGAUCCGAAGUGGACCCCCAGAGGCAUUCAGAGACAAGGCGAAACACAAGAGUGGUCACUGUGAGCCCUUUGAGUUCACUGUCCUCCUCACCGGUUUCAAGGGCUGAGGAGCUUGUCACUAUUAACUACACAAAAGCUUCUCUGAAGGAUGAAAAUGACCCCCGGCAGGUGCAGCUCGCGAACACCUCUGCCUACUACACGUAUGUCGUCCUCGUCGUCAAGAGCAUGGUCUACACCAUCAUCAUCGCCAUCUGUCUGCUUGGGGGACCAGCACUCUGUGACAAUGGGAAGAGUUCCUAACCCAUGGUGGCACCAAGGGUCCACUUUUCUCCUUGACUAUUGUCACUAAAAGAGUCUGUUGAGGAUCUAGAGGGGCUUUCUUUCUGCGUUUGGGUUAUUUCAGUUCACAUGUUUCUUUUUCUAUGUGUCAUCAUUGCAGAACAGGUUUACAAACAGCUAGGCAGACAGGAAAUGUCACUCUGCAUGGAGAACAAUUUCUACCAUGACUCAGGGGCGGGGCCGGGGGAACCCACUGGGGCGUCAGCACUGCUCUCUCCUUCAUGUCCACCAGCCCGUCAGCCACUCAGCACCCUUGCCUCUGAGUACAGCCGGCGUGCAGCUUCCAUCGCGGCCCCUGGGGCUCUGUAUCCAGAUAACUGCCUGCAGGCCUUUUAUUUUACAUUUCUGGAAGUCUUCCUCCUUGCUACCUGACCUUUGUGCUAUUUUUCAUAACAGGCCUAAUAAAAGCAAUCACAAGUCUACUUUCGCCUCUGUGGACAUUUAUUUGGUGAGACCUGAGUACAAGGCCAUGGACAGCAUGACAACUGAGCCUUCACAUUCAGCAUUGAUGUACUCAUGGUCAAUUCCACAUCUCUAAUUCUUUCCCUAAGAUAGUCCUUGUGAU